rnacentral:rRNA from 1 species
AUUGAACGCUGGCGGCAUGCCUAACACAUGCAAGUCGAACGAGUGGCGGACGGGUGAGUAAUGUCUGUGAACUUGCCCGAUGGAUGGGGUUAACUACUGGAAACGGUAGUUAAUACCGCUUACUAUCGGAUGUGCCCCGAUGGGAUUAGCUGGUAGGUGGGGUAACGGCUACCCUAGGCGACGAUCCCUAGCUGGUCUGAGAGGAUGACCAGCCCCACUGGAACUGAGACACGGUCCAGCCUCCUACGGGAGGCAGCAGUGGGGAAUAUUGCGCAAUGGGGGCAACCCUGACGCAGCCAUGCCGCGUGAAUGAAGAAGGCCUGCGGGUUGUAAAGUUCUUUCGGUAGCGAGGCGUUAACUACAGAAGAAGCACCGGCUAACUCCGUGCCAGCAGCCGCGGUAAUAC